rnacentral:rRNA from 1 species
GAAUCUUCCGCAGUGGGCGAAAGCCUGACGGAGCGACGCCGCGUACAGGAUGAAGGCCUUCGGGUUGUAAACUGUUGUCACGCUAUAGGAAUGCCAUGGUGUUAAUACCACCCUGGUUGACUAAAGCGAGAGGAAGCACCGGCUAACUCUGUGCCAGCAGCCGCGGUAAGACAGAGGGUGCAAACGUUGUUCGGAAUCACUGGGCAUAAAGCGCACGUAGGCGGCCGAAUAAGUCAGGUGUGAAAGCCCCCGGCUCAACCGGGGAACGGCACUUGAUACUGUUCGACUAGAGGACGGUAGGGGUGAGUGGAACUCCAGGUGGAGCGGUGAAAUGCGUAGAUAUCUGGAGGAACACCGGUGGCGAAAGCGGCUCACUGGACCGUAUCUGACGCUGAGGUGCGAAAGCUAGGGUAGCAAACGGG